rnacentral:rRNA from 1 species
UUGGAGGGCAAGUCUGGUGCCAGCAGCCGCGGUAAUUCCAGCUCCAAUAGCGUAUAUUAAAGUUGUUGCAGUUAAAAAGCUCGUAGUUGAAUUUCGGGAUCAGAGUGUCGGUCGUGCCUCGGUACGCACUGGUAUUAUUGGUUCCUACCUUCUGAAGAACCGCGAUGUCAUUAAUUUGGUGUCGUGGGGAAUCAGGACUGUUACUUUGAAAAAAUUAGAGUGUUUAAAGCAGGCUUACGCUUGAAUACAUUAGCAUGGAAUAAUGAAAUAGGACGUUUGAUACUAUUUUGUUGGUUUCUAGGAUUGACGUAAUGAUUAAUAGGGAUAGUUGGGGGCAUUAGCAUUCAAUUGUCAGAGGUGAAAUUCUUGGAUUUAUUGAAGACUAACUACUGCGAAAGCAUUUGCCAAGGAUGUUUUCAUUAAUCAAGAACGAAAGUUAGGGGAUCGAAGACGAUCAGAUACCGUCGUAGUCUUAACCAUAAACUAUGCCGACUAGGGAUCGGAUGAUGUUAAUUUUUUAAUGACUCAUUCGGCGCCUUACGGGAAACCAAAGUGUUUGGGUUC